GGCUUGCUCUCAUGCUUUCUUGUCCUUCUGCCUUCUGCCAUGGGAUGACACAGCAAGAAGCCCCUUGCCAGAUGUGGGCCUCUCGACCUUGGACUUCUUAGCUUCCAGAACUAGGAGCCAUUGAAGAAUACUGUUGUCCUAUCCCAGAAGGAGCAAGCGGACAACACUGAUAUCCUGACCACUAACCAUCCAGCACCACUUAAAGAGGUCCCAAAACCCCCGGCUGUCUACCAAUACCCAUCUGUGACCUCUUAGGAACCGAGCUUCACAGCAGGAGGUGAAUGGUGGACAAGCGAGCAUUAUCGCCUCAGCUCCACCUCCUGUCAGUUUUAAAAAGAAUAACAGAAAGAAAGAAGUGGCUGAAACCUAAAUGCCAUAUGGAGAAGACAGCUAAUUGCCACACUCUCCUCUUUGGUCUUUCCUGGUACGCAGCAUACAAGCCCACAGAUUGAGGACUCUGCACUUGCUGUUCUCUCUGCCUGGAGCUCUAUGGCUCCAGAUAGACUCCUGCCAACUCCUUCGCCUUGUCCAAGUUACCUUCAUUAAAUGUCAGCUUAAAUGUGUGCCUACUUUUUGCCCUACCUAGAAUUGCAAGCACCUCUCACCACUGUGCUCCCAUUCUCCUUAACUUAAGCCACUUUUAUUCUCAUAAUAAAGCCACAUAUUUUUUCUUAUUAUAUCAUAAUCGUACUGUAUAAUUUAUAUUUUAUUACUUUUGUUUGUAUACUUAUUGUAUGUUUCUGUUC
rnacentral:lncRNA from 10 species